rnacentral:tRNA from 1 species
GCAGUGGUGGUUCACGGGUAGAAUUCUGGCCUUGCAUGCUGGAGACCCUGGUUCGAUCCCCAGCCAGUGCU